ACUGGAGGCGUGAGGACGCAGAAUUGAGGAAGCCCGGAACUGCGCAGACUAAGGAGACGAGGGAUCCUCGAGAACCUGCUGCCGAAGGGGAAAGCCUGCAAGGACGGCCUGGUGCGCACCUGCUGGUGGAGGCCCAGGAAACGUGGGAGAACGACCGGUCGCCGCUGCGACGGCUUUCCGCUUCGGCAACAGCUUCUCAAGGAUCCCUCGUCUCUUUCGUCUGUGUAGUUCCGGGCUUCUCAAACUCUGCGUCCUCUCGCCUCAAACAUUCCCGUAGAACAGUCCUAUUUGCUUCUUCUUCAAUUUCGAACCUGGCCUGCUUUCCGCGAUACUUCCUGAUUCGCCGUUGGUCUUGGCCAAUCGUUUUCGCCCAUCGGGGCCUUCGCGCAGGCGCGCGUCCAGUCGUCGCCAAUCUCCGCCAAUAGUUUUUCUCGCUGUUAAUUUUGGCCAAUUGCCUUCAACCCACUUUUUGUGCUUUGCGCGGUCUCCCUCUUCUUCCGGUCAGCCGCGCUUCCCUACGCGGCUGUACCUCCGGUUGCAAUGCCUGAGAUUAUGAGGUUCUUUGGUUAUUCGAAAUCGAUUGUUUACCGGGUGGUUCAGAAGUUUUCGGUUUCUUAGCAAUCGAACGAACGUUCCUGUGAUCUGGGUCUUGGGAUAUCGCUCCGAAAUUUGGCUUCGAUCUUGGGUGUGAGCAAUAUCACUAUGCAAAGAAUUGCUGAAGAAGAACUGAGAUACGCAUCUUACGUCAUUAAAGUGCGACAAAUGCUUUCGAAAGAUGCCAAGACCGAGAGAGUUGCCCGCUGCCGCUUGUUUCUGUGCUCACUCAAGAAGCGUUUUGGCCCCCAAAUAGUCCAGGCCUUAAUCGAUUGGACUACUACGUUUGGAGCGUUGUUGAGAGAUUCAGUAAUAAGUCGAGACACCUUUAUGUGGCAUCUCUACGGACCGCAAUUCAAUAAGCAAUCGCAGACAUAGGCUGAGAUCAAAUGCAGAGAGCAUGUUCUCGCUUCAAGCUGAGGAUUGAGGAAGUGGUGAUAGAAGAUCAAAGAUGGCUAUAUAGAGUGAAAGUUUACAGAAAGUGUCCCAUAAACAAAAUAUGCAAAUAAUUUUUUGGCUUUAUCAGCAUCUAAUCACCGCGCAGAAUGUCGACGAUUGUCAUAAAAGAUCUACUUUUCAUUACAUGUUACUAUUCGAUUGAAUAUUCCUUUAUUAUUGUGCCAGGAAAGCAAUGAAAAGCUGAUUAUCGGCGAAGCUUGUUUCUCUCAGUUCAGGUAGUAUUCACUUGUCAAGCUUUUCCACUUUCUCUAUGCCCUUGAGGUAUCGGGAAACAGUUGAAUAGUGAACAAUAAAGUGCAUUGUAUGCAAUAUCUCGAACUAAUAAAUACGAGAUUGCUUUAACUAUGUCUUUCAAAACACUGUCAUCAAUCGCUGAAAUAGUAUGACUGCAAAACAAAUUGUCGAGGUUUGUAUCACCAGACCGAAGCUCUUCGAACCAACGUCUGGUGAUUCGAUCACUUACAGAACCUUUCCCAAAAGCAGUGUUUAUGUUUUGCGUUGCCUCGACCGCAGUAAGCCAAGAUUAAAUUCGUAUAAAAAUAUUAUUCGCAAUUUCUUUCUUUUCAUGUCGAAAAAACAGUGAUUUUCAACGAUGUAAUCAAUAUAAUAAAAGUAAGGUUGUGCGUGCGAAUUCACAUGUGAGACAUAUACUUUUCGAAUAUACGUACAAUAAUAGCUAUAUAAGAAAAGCUAAUUUAGUCUGGCUGUGUGGAAAGAGAUUCACAUUGAAUGAAGAGAUCGUCGACAAAUCAGAGGCCUAUUUUGCAGAGUUUAACAAAUGGUAUUUUUCAGAAGGCUUAAAAAUGGCAGUGGGAAAAGUGUAUUCUCCUAAAAGAGGAUUACGUUAAAAAAUAAAAAAAAUGUUUGUGAUAAACUUGCGCCUUCAUUACUAACACCGGUACUUAUUGAUUUAUCCUCAUAAAAUGGGCAGUUUUAUUCUUGAAUUAUGUCUGAAUAAAACAGUAUCAUGUUCUUGUCCAUUUCCCAUACAGUAUUAUUAUAACUAAUAAGAAUAUAUUAAUAUUAGACAGUAAUUGGAUGGAUGUCUAGGAAAUCUGCUUAUAAUUCUACCAGGAAAUUUCACAGAU